AGUGAACGCUGGCGGUAGGCCUAACACAUGCAAGUCGAACGGCAGCACAGUAAGAGCUUGCUCUUACGGGUGGCGAGUGGCGGACGGGUGCGGAAUACAUCGGAAUCUACUUUUUCGUGGGGGAUAACGUAGGGAAACUUACGCUAAUACCGCAUACGACCUACGGGUGAAAGCAGGGGAUCUUCGCACCUUGCGCGAUUGAAUGAGCCGAUGUCGGAUUAGCUAGUUGGCGGGGUAAAGGCCCACCAAGGCGACGAUCCGUAGCUGGUCUGAGAGGAUGAUCAGCCACACUGGAACUGAGACACGGUCCAGACUCCUACGGGAGGCAGCAGUGGGGAAUAUUGGACAAUGGGCGCAAGCCUGAUCCAGCCAUACCGCGUGGGUGAAGAAGGCCUUCGGGUUGUAAAGCCCUUUUGUUGGGAAAGAAAAGCAGCAGGUUAAUACCCCGCUGUUCUGACGGUACCCAAAGAAUAAGCACCGGCUAACUUCGUG
rnacentral:rRNA from 1 species